rnacentral:lncRNA from 13 species
UUGAGAACUUGUCAUUGGGCCUGAGUAUCCCAACAUUAAUGCUCUUGCCUAAGUAGAGGCAGCAGAAUGCCCGGCCUGAUACAUGAUGCAUUGUGUCAAGACUUCACGGGCAGCUGCAAUGGGUGUUGUUAGCCUAUAACGAUAACUCACAGUUAAAGUACAGCCAGGCCGGUGAUUUCCAGCCGUGUUCCACAGGAUCCCAGCGCUCAAAUAAAAACACUGCAAAACAUGCCGCCAGAGUUUUGGUGAUUUCAUUGCUGUAUUACCCAGUGCGUCUCUGCAAACAACAUUCCCUGACUUUAGCGCUUCACCACUGAUUUGGCUACCGAGCUAAUGACAGCAUGUGAAAGAUCCUACGUCCAAAGAAAGCUGGUGAAAGAUCUGGCCUUAAGUUCUUAGAGCCACUCUCAUCAUGAUCGUUGUAUUUACACUAUACUACCACACUGGGGGAGAUUCACCGGACUUGAAAGCAAACAAACAAAAAGGCUAGCAAAGCUUCUUCUACCAUCAAUAAAUACAAACUUUACUUCUCUAAUCUAGAUACU